GGCUUCAAACAAUCCUCCUGAUUCAGCCUUCUCAGUAGCUGGGACUACAGCACAUGCCACUGCACCUGGCCAAGAGAUAACUCUUAAGUGUAAGAUUGGACUGGUAAUGGUGGCGGCAUUUAACUGUCUCCUUCUCCACCAAAUCUCCCCAUAAGUUCAGACUGGUGUCUUUCUGUCUCUUCUUGAAAGACACUGAGUUACUGGACCAUCAGAGCCCCUGAUGCUCUCCUGUUUGUGGAGAAAGAGGACACUGUAGAAGACAUCCAGUCCUCUUGCUGCUGCCCCACCCAAAGAGGUUUCUUGGGUGAAGAGACUCUGAAUAUAUUCAUCUGGCUGGAAUGGAGCUGAGCAGAAAAACAAAAGUUAAGGUAGUUAAACCCUGGAUUGUUUUGCAAUAAAAGCAACCACCGUUUAUUGAGUUAGGUGCAUAUAUGUUAUUUCAUUUAAGUUGGAAGUAGGAAGGAUCUAAGAAAAAGCAAUGGAUCUGAAGUAGUUGUUUUGGCACAACUCCUAGGGCUGGGUUUUGGGCUUCUGACUCUUCAAAACUUACAUGUCAGCAACCCCAAGUAUUAGUUUCUUGUUGCUGCUGUAAUAAGUUGCUACAAACUUAGUGGCUUAAAACAGCACAGAUUUAUUAUCUUAUAGUUCUAGAGUCAUUUAUUGUGUUCCUCUGUGCAUUGUCAGUGUAAUGGGGUAUGUAUGCCAGCCUGUAUGGCAGUGUAAGAUAUUAAAAUAAGAACAAAGCCCAGUUUUCUUAGCACUGCUUGUAUCAAAGUGUGAUUUCCAUAUAAGCUCACAUCAUAGGGAAUCAGUUGCAAUCUGGUUUCAUGGAUAACAAGACCAGGUUAUGGAAUAUUUUUCAUUGCAUGAAGCCUGUUAAAAGCCAGAAGAGAAAAGCAAUACUUUCUGCUGACAUUGGGAUCAACUGAGAAUGUGGUGGGCUUAGUGGUAUUAAAUAAGAUAAAAAGUUGAAAUCAAAAUUUAAAACUGUCUAGAUGUAGAUAUUAGAUAUUUAUUUACAUAAAAUGAAAAUUCUGAAGUGGAUAUUUUUGCUGUUCUGAACUUCUUCAAGAAAAAUCUGGAGAAAGCAAAACUGUGAUUUAAGUUCUUUACCCACUGUGCCUAAUACCUUACUAUCUUUUAAAGAAUUUGCUUUUUUACAAGCUACAGAAACAUUGCUCUGAAGCUUCGUAUGGACAUUAAAGCUUAACUGUGUUUA
rnacentral:lncRNA from 1 species